rnacentral:lncRNA from 7 species
AAACACACAAGGGAAGCUGGCUGGGGUGGGGUAAGGCUUCUUAAGUUAGACAAGAGUAGACGCAGAAGUGUUUGUAUGAGGAUUGGCAGCACCAGAAGACAAAGGCUAUGUUUUUGCUUGAACUUUAAUGAAAUUUAUGGAGAAUCCUCCGCUUACUGUGUCAUACUAGUACUUGUAAUUGGUAACAAAGCAAAUGAGCAAAUGGAGCUAGGGGAAGAUGCACAAAUUGUACUGGUAAGCUUUGGACCUGCGCGUGAGGCACCUGGUGGUGAACAACCUCAUCUUUCAGAAUGGUCACCUGUGGCCCUGUGAGUUGCCUUUGGCCAGGACCGGAUAAUUCAUGAGGAGAGAGUGCCUCAUGCACAAGGCAUCUUCUCAUCACUGGCUGCUGCUAUACAACUGUAUCUUUAGCAACCCGAUAUAUCCAUGGAUCAAGUGUGUGAUUAUGAGGCAGAAGAGAUGAAGUCUGUCAGUAUUACUGCUGGUUGAAGCCCUCGUCAUUGACCCGCGAUUCACUGUGCUCUGAGCUCAGAAAGCCUAGAAGAAGAGAGUGCUGUCAUCAGUCCAUUACUGCGCCCAUUGCUUCUUUCGGAUGCUAAUAAAUAGAGACAAAGAUGAAAUGGCGAUACUCAUUUCCACUGCAGCAUUUCAGCUAAGACAUGGUGCCUCUAUCCAGGGACACAAACCGUGUCGCAUAAGGGCUGCCUGUCUGACUCCUUACCCACUAUCUGGCCCACUGCAGUGGUGUUGGCAGCUGCUAAGACAGGUGCACUGGAAGCAAAAAUCACUCGCAUCCUUCAGCAGCUGCACCAUUUUCCUUCCUUCUUGUGGACUGGGCUAUCUGGGUGAGCUCCAUACUCUUAGAAAUAUUUCUUCCUCAUGGGACGCCACAGAUGUGCUAAGUGGAGAUGCUGAUGUUCUCCAGAGGCAGUGAGAAGUGUCCUGUGGGGACACUCGGACAGCAUUUAUCCUCUUUGCUGUAUUUCUCUUAAGUGUAUCUCAAUGGUUGGUUCUGGAAAAAGGAUUUGGUGCAGGUCUCUACAUCCCGAAUCCUGAGUGAAUAGGAUUAUUUGGUCUACAGAGCUGCCCACGUGGGAUAUAUGCCCACAGGCACAUUAUCACUGCCCGGGCACUCUCUGGAUCCCUUUACUGUGAGGCACCACAGUGCUGUGCAACUUUCCUCUUUGGAGUUCUCCUGAUAAACAUUGGGUAAUGAGUACAUGAUGCUGGCUUUUGGUUUUUAGCAUCCUCCCUUCCUCUCUUCCCUUAUUUUAUUUCGAUUCAAUGAUCUUAAUGGGUCCCUUUCAACAUGGGAUAUUCUAUUCUAUGAUUUUGAUCAAUGUAAUAUGUAUAAUGAGUUUGGGGGUUUGGUGAGUUUUUGUUAUACGUAUGCCCAGAGAUCUUGGUAUUAAGUGCAUUUUAUAAAUUAAUAAAUAAAUAUGC